GCCAUCAGUAGCCAAGGAUGACUUGCAUAUGAGUAGGCCCUUAUGAGGUCCUCAUCAUCCAUCCUUGAAUGCUGAGUGGCUUUAUCCAUGCAGUUCUU
rnacentral:miRNA from 14 species